rnacentral:rRNA from 1 species
GAUGAACGCUGGCGGCGUGCCUAAUACAUGCAAGUCGAGCGAAUGGAUUAAGAGCUUGCUCUUAUGAAGUUAGCGGCGGACGGGUGAGUAACACGUGGGUAAACUGCCCAUAAGACUGGGAUAACUCCGGGAAACCGGGGCUAAUACCGGAUAACAUUUUGAACCGCAUGGUGCGAAAUUGAAAGGCGGCUUCGGCUGUCACUUAUGGAUGGACCCGCGUCGCAUUAGCUAGUGGGUGAGGUAACAGCUCACAAAGGCAACGAUGCGUAGCCGACCUGGGAGGGUGAUCGACAAAACUGGGACUGAGACACGGCCCAGACUCCUACGGGAGGCAGCAGUAGGGAAUCUUCCGCAAUGAACGAAAGUCUGACGGCGCAACGCCGCGUGAGUGAUGAAGGCUUUCGGGUCGUAAAACUCUGUUGUUAGGGAAGAACAAGUGCUAGUUGAAUAAGCUGACACCUUGACGGUACCUAACCAGAAAGCCACGGCUAACUACGUGCCAGCCGCCGCGGUAA